rnacentral:rRNA from 1 species
AGAAUUUGAUCUUGGUUCAGGAUGAACGCUAGCUACAGGCUUAACACAUGCAAGUCGAGGGGUAGCAGGGUAGCAAUACCGCUGACGACCGGCGCACGGGUGAGUAACACGUAUCCAACCUUCCCAUAACUCAGGGAUAGCCUUUACGAAAGAAAGAUUAAUACCUGAUAGUACUUUUUCAAGGCAUCUUGAGAAAGUUAAAGAUUUAUUGGUUAUGGAUGGGGAUGCGUUCCAUUAGAUAGUUGGUGAGGUAACGGCUCACCAAGUCUUCGAUGGAUAGGGGUUCUGAGAGGAAGGUCCCCCACAUUGGUACUGAGACACGGACCAAACUCCUACGGGAGGCAGCAGUGAGGAAUAUUGGUCAAUGGGCGAGAGCCUGAACCAGCCAAGUAGCGUGAAGGAUGAAGGUCCUAUGGAUUGUAAACUUCUUUUAUAGUAGAAUAAAGUGAUCCACGUGUGGAUUUUUGUAUGUAUACUAUGAAUAAGGAUCGGCUAACUCCGUGCCAGCAGCCGC